UGCUCUGCGGGGAAGAAUCUGCAUUCCUCAUGUUUGUCAGUUGGUUAGUUUUUAUUUCGGUGUCAUAUAGCAUCCAUCUUCCUCCAACUCAUCACCUCUCCAGGAUAUGUACCCCGGCGUCUCUCCCACUCAUCACCAGACUGUUGCUUCUGCUAGUGUGAUAGCUGAUCCCUGCCAGCCUGUCUGCCUGUCUGCUCGUUUGCCUGCUUAUUCAUUCUCCCUCACAACCCUCCAUCAACCACACGGCCUCUCCAUCUCCAUUCCUCCAGCCAUCCCCAGUCAUCCCCUCCUCUUUUG